CUCUGCCUGGGUUUUUUGUUUUUGCUUUUUAGGGCCACACCUGCAGCAUAUGGAGGUUCCCAGGCUAAGGGUUGAAUCAGAGCUGCAGGUGCCGGCCUACAGCACAGCCACAGCCACGCCACAGUCACACCAUAGCAAUGCUAGAUACAGCUGCUCUGCGACCUACACCACAGCUCAGGGCAACGCUGGAUCCUUCAUCCACUGAGUGAGGCCAAGGAUCGAACCCGCAUCCUCACGAAGACUCGUCAGGUUCGUUACCCACUGAGCCACAGUGGGAACUCCCACUGCCUGGAUUUGAAUCUAGCUCUGCCCCCUCCCUGUGGAGUGCCUUUGGGCCAGUGCUUCUCAGUAUGCACCUCUGUCAAGUGGAGGUGACCCACAACUCCUUAGUUCCCAGGGUCAGAGGCCACUUCGUGCCCAGGAGCAAUGACCCAGGCCCCACUGUUCUCCUGCCCCAGAACCAUGAAUGUCCCUCUGUGUUCCUGAUGAGAACAAUGAUUUGCUAAAUAUCCCUUUCCGGGUUUCAUUAUCUCACAAUCCUUGGCCUGGGUUCAACCUUCCGUCCUGGGAAUAAGCUUGGCUCAGAUCUAUCUGUGCUGCGUGUUCACCCGCCCGGCCCCCCAGCACCUCUGCUCAGCGGGGGCCCACUCCUGAGGGUGGGGUCCCAAGGGGAUGUUUUUAAUCAGAUCCCAGAUAAGAUCUGACACCUCCGCCUAAGCCCCAGCCAGGGGUGAGGAGCCAGUGUGUCUGGGCCAACUUCUCCCGGGCACGCGGACAUGCUUGCACACAUGCACGCACACACACAGACGCACACACACCCCAGCUGACACGCAGCUAGAUCCGAGGCUUUUCUGCACUGCCUAAUGGGGCUAAGUGCUUGGCCAGGACACCCCGUUUCUUGGAGGACUCUGAGGCGAUGAAAGCUACCGCUGGCCCCUAAAAAAGGCACAUAUACAAAACCCACAUGACAGCUGGCAAGCCAUUUUUGGAAGGUUCACAGCCACCACCAUUCCAAAGCUCAUCAGGCAAGGCUGGCACGGCUCAGUUGGCAUCUGUCUAGCAUCCCUUCUUGCCAUCCCUCGGCCUGAACAGUGCUUCCAACGAAUUGUCUUCCCUCACUUGACAAAAGCCCAUUUUAUAGAUGACAAAACCGAGGAUGGAGGCUAUGAUCUAAAGUGUCUGGUCAGUGCUGGAGCUGAGAUUCAAAUGCGGGCAGUUGAAUUCCCAAGGCCAACCACCAGGUUAUUCUGUCCCCAAAGGGAUGAUAAGUGCUUCCACAGGCCCGCUUCUGGAUACUCCAUCCCGUUUCUACCCUGGAUUUCUAACCUGCAGCAAUCCUGGAACCUUCGGCCCCAAGCCGACUUCCCAAUCCAGAACCUUGAACGUGCCACACCGUCUCAGAGGUGCCACUCCUGAUGUGCUCCCAGCCAGAGUUCAAGGACUCUAAGAACCCUUCCCCAACCGUCUUAACUCCACGAUUCUGGAAAGCACACGGCCCAUCACUCGCGCUCCCAUUAGUUCUCGGAUGCUGCGCAGUCCUGUUCUGUAAAACCAGGGCACUAGAAGAGAUAAUGUGGUGAUAUUCUAGAUAACAUCCAAGGUUCUAGAACAACCGGGGUUCGUUCUCAGUUUCACCUGUAAGAGACACUGGACUGCUAACAUCCCACCUUUCAACCUUCCAUUGGGUCUCUCUCUACCCAACGAGCAGCCAUCCUCAAUUCUGACUCCAGGGUUCUAGAACACCAACGCUCUAACUUUGAGGAUGUGUCCAGCAUCAAGAAUGACAACAGCUUCUUCCUACUUUAUAGGCUGAGUUCUAGCAGACCAUCAGUGGAUCUCCACGUUUUUUUUUUUUUUUUUUUUUUUUUUUUUUUUUUUGG
rnacentral:lncRNA from 1 species